rnacentral:rRNA from 1 species
GAUGAACGCUAGCGGAGGCUUAACACAUGCAAGUCAGGGGCAGCAUAAGGUAGCAAUACUUUGAUGGCGACCGGCGCACGGGUGAGUAACGCGUAUGUAACCUGUCCUUAACAGGAGGAUAACCCGGAGAAAUUCGGACUAAUACUGCAUAAAAUUAUAAAUAGGCAUCUAUUAAUAAUUAAAGCUACGGCGGUUAGGGAGGGGCAUGCGUAACAUUAGCUGGUUGGUAGGGUAACGGCCUACCAAGGCAAUGAUGUUUAGGGGACCUGAGAGGGUGACCCCCCACACUGGUACUGAGACACGGACCAGACUCCUACGGGAGGCAGCAGUGAGGAAUAUUGGUCAAUGGGCGGCAGCCUGAACCAGCCAUCCCGCGUGAAGGAAGAAUGCGCUAUGCGUUGUAAACUUCUUUUUCAGGGGGAUAAAAUUCUGUAUGUAUACAGGACUGAAGGUACCCUGAGAAUAAGCAUCGGCUAACUCCGUG